AGUCCUCUGCUGUGGACGACGGCGUACGCAACAUUCGCCUUGUCCCUUAACAGCGACCUCGGGGAUGCAGUGCAGGCCGGGAGCGCAAGUCCGCCACGUGCGGAAAGCCCGAAAGCCCCCACGCAUUCCCACCUGAACCUCGGGUUCAAGGUCGUUCGUACGCAUCGCCAUCGGCGGAGGACCU
rnacentral:other from 31 species